UUGAAGAGUUUGAUCAUGGCUCAGAUUGAACGCUGGCGGCAGGCCUAACACAUGCAAGUCGAGCGGUAGCACAGAGAGCUUGCUCUCGGGUGACGAGCGGCGGACGGGUGAGUAAUGUCUGGGAAACUGCCUGAUGGAGGGGGAUAACUACUGGAAACGGUAGCUAAUACCGCAUAAUGUCGCAAGACCAAAGUGGGGGACCUUCGGGCCUCAUGCCAUCAGAUGUGCCCAGAUGGGAUUAGCUAGUAGGUGGGGUAACGGCUCACCUAGGCGACGAUCCCUAGCUGGUCUGAGAGGAUGACCAGCCACACUGGAACUGAGACACGGUCCAGACUCCUACGGGAGGCAGCAGUGGGGAAUAUUGCACAAUGGGCGCAAGCCUGAUGCAGCCAUGCCGCGUGUGUGAAGAAGGCCUUCGGGUUGUAAAGCACUUUCAGCGGGGAGGAAGGCGAUAAGGUUAAUAACCUUGUCGAUUGACGUUACCCGCAGAAGAAGCACCGGCUAACUCCGUGCCAGCAGCCGCGGUAAUACGGAGGGUGCAAGCGUUAAUCGGAAUUACUGGGCGUAAAGCGCACGCAGGCGGUCUGUCAAGUCGGAUGUGAAAUCCCCGGGCUCAACCUGGGAACUGCAUUCGAAACUGGCAGGCUAGAGUCUUGUAGAGGGGGGGUAGAAUUCCAGGUGUAGCGGUGAAAUGCGUAGAGAUCUGGAGGAAUACCGGUGGCGAAGGCGGCCCCCUGGACAAAGACUGACGCUCAGGUGCGAAAGCGUGGGGAGCAAACAGGAUUAGAUACCCUGGUAGUCCACGCCGUAAACGAUGUCGAUUUGGAGGUUGUGCCCUUGAGGCGUGGCUUCCGGAGCUAACGCGUUAAAUCGACCGCCUGGGGAGUACGGCCGCAAGGUUAAAACUCAAAUGAAUUGACGGGGGCCCGCACAAGCGGUGGAGCAUGUGGUUUAAUUCGAUGCAACGCGAAGAACCUUACCUGGUCUUGACAUCCACAGAACUUUCCAGAGAUGGAUUGGUGCCUUCGGGAACUGUGAGACAGGUGCUGCAUGGCUGUCGUCAGCUCGUGUUGUGAAAUGUUGGGUUAAGUCCCGCAACGAGCGCAACCCUUAUCCUUUGUUGCCAGCGGUUAGGCCGGGAACUCAAAGGAGACUGCCAGUGAUAAACUGGAGGAAGGUGGGGAUGACGUCAAGUCAUCAUGGCCCUUACGACCAGGGCUACACACGUGCUACAAUGGCAUAUACAAAGAGAAGCGACCUCGCGAGAGCAAGCGGACCUCAUAAAGUAUGUCGUAGUCCGGAUUGGAGUCUGCAACUCGACUCCAUGAAGUCGGAAUCGCUAGUAAUCGUAGAUCAGAAUGCUACGGUGAAUACGUUCCCGGGCCUUGUACACACCGCCCGUCACACCAUGGGAGUGGGUUGCAAAAGAAGUAGGUAGCUUAACCUUCGGGAGGGCGCUUACCACUUUGUGAUUCAUGACUGGGGUGAAGUCGUAACAAGGUAACCGUAGGGGAACCUGCGGUUGGAUCACCUCCUU
rnacentral:rRNA from 1 species